CAGAUACGGAGGCACGCACGCGUUUCCCUUAAAGCCACAACCUAAGGUAAAGAAGCAUCAACACAGGAUGAGCCUCGUGACACUGGCGUUGGUGUGCGUGGCAGUGGCCGCGUUGUGGGCGUAUUCAAAAUGGCGCCACAGCUACUGGGCAUCGCGGGGUGUGCAAACGCCGCCCUAUGUACCCAUCUUUGGUCACAUACAUCAUGCGCUCUCAAAGAAAGGGAAAUGGGAGUAUGAUACAGUGAAACACUACGCCUGUUUCCUCCAGCACCAUUUAUAGAACGACUGUGCACACGUGAAUAUCGGUAGGUAGCAAUACUAAUAACCAUGAAG